UGGGGAAUAUUGCACAAUGGGCGCAAGCCUGAUGCAUCGACGCCGCGUGAGGGAUGACGGCCUUCGGGUUGUAAACCUCUUUCAGCUCCGACGAAGCGCAAGUGACGGUAGGAGCAGAAGAAGCACCGGCCAACUACGUGCCAGCAGCCGCGGUAAUACGUAGGGUGCAAGCGUUGUCCGGAAUUACUGGGCGUAAAGAGCUCGUAGGCGGUUUGUCGCGUCGUCUGUGAAAUUCUGCAGCUUAACUGCAGGCGUGCAGGCGAUACGGGCAGACUUGAGUACUACAGGGGAGACUGGAAUUCCUGGUGUAGCGGUGAAAUGCGCAGAUAUAAGGAGGAACACCGGUGGGGAAGGCGGGUCUCUGGGUAGUAACUGACGCUGAGGAGCGAAAGCGUGGGUAGCGAACAGG
rnacentral:rRNA from 1 species